rnacentral:lncRNA from 1 species
GUGAUUCUCUCUCCCUUUAUGGAGCCAACAUUCUACCGAUGUCAUACAACGUUCCUGAUAAGCCACUCUCACAUCUGUGCCUCCCCCACUUCCUGCUGAUCCUCUCUCAGGAACAGAGCUCAGAAGUAGAAACACUUUUUGUUCAGGCAUCCUCUGAGAGAAAGCAAUUUACAUGCAAAAUAUCAUUUAAUCCUCCUGACAAGGAGAUAAAUAUUAUCUAAUGGGGGAAAGGGAGUUCUGUAAACCGAGGCUCAAAAGUUUUAAUGACUUGCCUGAAGACUUACAGUCAGUAAGUAGAAAGGCCGAGAUAGGAGCCCAUAUCUGUCUAACUCCAGAGUGCUUGAUCUUAUCUACUACAGCAAGAGCU